AUUGAACGCUGGCGGCAUGCCUUACACAUGCAAGUCGAACGGCAGCACGGGAGCAAUCCUGGUGGCGAGUGGCGAACGGGUGAGUAAUAUAUCGGAACGUGCCCAGUCGUGGGGGAUAACGCAGCGAAAGCUGUGCUAAUACCGCAUACGAUCUACGGAUGAAAGCGGGGGAUCGCAAGACCUCGCGCGAUUGGAGCGGACGAUAUCAGAUUAGCUAGUUGGUGGGGUAAAGGCCCACCAAGGCGACGAUCUGUAGCUGGUCUGAGAGGACGACCAGCCACACUGGAACUGAGACACGGUCCAGACUCCUACGGGAGGCAGCAGUGGGGAAUUUUGGACAAUGGGCGCAAGCCUGAUCCAGCAAUGCCGCGUGCAGGAUGAAGGCCUUCGGGUUGUAAACUGCUUUUGUACGGAACGAAACGGCCCUUUCUAAUACAGGGGGCUCAUGACGGUACCGUAAGAAUAAGCACCGGCUAACUACGUGCCAGCCGCCGCCGUAA
rnacentral:rRNA from 1 species